rnacentral:rRNA from 1 species
AACGAACGCUGGCGGCAUGCCUAACACAUGCAAGUCGAACGAGACCUUCGGGUCUAGUGGCGCACGGGUGCGUAACGCGUGGGAACCUGCCCUUAGGUUCGGAAUAACUCCCCGAAAGGGGUGCUAAUACCGGCUAAUGUCUUCGGACCAAAGAUUUAUCGCCUUUGGAUGGGCCCGCGUUGGCUUAGCUAGUUGGUAGGGUAAAAGCCUACCAAGGCGACGAUCCAUAGCUGGUCUGAGAGGAUGAUCAGCCACACUGGGACUGGGACACGGCCCAGACUCCUACGGGAGGCAGCAGUGGGGAAUAUUGGACAAUGGGCGAAAGCCUGAUCCAGCAAUGCCGCGUGAGUGAUGAAGGCCUUAGGGUUGUAAAGCUCUUUUACCCGGGAUGAUAAUGACAGUACCGGGAGAAUAAGCUCCGGCUAACUCCGUG